CCCUUUUUUUUAAAAAACAAUCAGAGAGCUUUUUGCUCUCUCCCUUACCCUUUCUAUUUCCUUUGCUUGGCCAACUCAAGGGCCUCAUCGGCGUCCCGCGCGCCUCCACGCAUCGUGGCUCAUGGCUCGGGAAUGAUGAGAACAAAAGGCGUCCCUUGGCCCGAUAUGCACGCCGGAGAAAGGAGGCUCCGAUGACGGAAAGGUGCCAUGCGACGCGUGGAAGAGGCGACGGUUAGGGGCGUGGUGGCCGAGGCGGCAUGCGUGGGAAGGCCAAUGGUGGAAGCGGUGGCUAAAGAAGGGGGAGCGGCUGGAGGCUUGGGGCUUGCUGAAAAUUUUUAAGAUUAGCUGGGUUAGGGUUUAGUUUUAGGCCUAUUGGGUUUGGGCUUGUAAAAUUAUUUGUUGGGCUGUUAUAUUUUAUUUGUUUAUGGGCCCGGGCAACAUUGGGCUUGUACAUUUUUAAUCUAAUUUUUUUAAUUCAAUUUAAUUUUAGUUAAAA